GAUGAACGCUGGCGGCGUGCCUAACACAUGCAAGUCGAGCGGACUUAGCCUUCGGGCGAAAGAUAGCGGCGGACGGGUGAGUAACACGUGAGUAACCUGCCUUAAACAGGGGAAUAACAAUGAGAAAUCAUUGCUAAAACCCCAUAAGCUCCCAGCUUAGCAUUAAGCAGAGAGAAAAUAUUUAUAGGUUUAAGAGGGGCUCGCGUCUGAUUAGCUAGUUGGUAGGGUAACGGCCUACCAAGGCGACGAUCAGUAGCCGACCUGAGAGGGUGAUCGGCCACAUUGGGACUGAGACACGGCCCAAACUCCUACGGGAGGCAGCAGUGGGGAAUAUUGCACAAUGGGGGAAACCCUGAUGCAGCAACGCCGCGUGAAGGACGAAGGGUUUCGGCUCGUAAACUUCUAUCAACAGGGACGAAAAAAAUGACGGUACCUGAAUAAGAAGCCCCGGCUAACUACGUGCCAGCAGCCGCCGUAA
rnacentral:rRNA from 1 species